UACGGAGGAUCCGAGCGUUAUCCGGAUUUAUUGGGUUUAAAGGGUGCGUAGGCGGUUUAUUAAGUCAGGGGUGAAAGACGGCAGCUUAACUGUCGCAGUGCCUUUGAUACUGAUGAACUUGAAUGUACUAGAAGUAGGCGGAAUGUGACAAGUAGCGGUGAAAUGCAUAGAUAUGUCACAGAACACCGAUUGCGAAGGCAGCUUACUAUGGUAUUAUUGACGCUGAGGCACGAAAGCGUGGGGAUCAAACAGG
rnacentral:rRNA from 1 species